rnacentral:rRNA from 1 species
UACGUAGGGUGCGAGCGUUGUCCGGAAUUAUUGGGCGUAAAGGGCUCGUAGGCGGUUUGUCACGUCGGGAGUGAAAACUCGGGGCUCAACCCCGAGCCUGCUUCCGAUACGGGCAGACUAGAGGUAUGCAGGGGAGAAUGGAAUUCCUGGUGUAGCGGUGAAAUGCGUAGAUAUCAAGUGGAACACCAGUGGCGAAGGCGAGUCUCUGGACAUUUCCUGACGCUGAGGCACGAAAGCCAGGGGAGCAAACGGG